rnacentral:rRNA from 1 species
GACGAACGCUGGCGGUGUGCUUAACACAUGCAAGUCGAACGGAAAGGCCCUGCUUUUGUGGGGUGCUCGAGUGGCGAACGGGUGAGUAACACGUGAGUAACCUGCCCUUGACUUUGGGAUAACUUCAGGAAACUGGGGCUAAUACCGGAUAGGAGCUCCUGCUGCAUGGUGGGGGUUGGAAAGUUUCGGCGGUUGGGGAUGGACUCGCGGCUUAUCAGCUUGUUGGUGGGGUAGUGGCUUACCAAGGCUUUGACGGGUAGCCGGCCUGAGAGGGUGACCGGCCACAUUGGGACUGAGAUACGGCCCAGACUCCUACGGGAGGCAGCAGUGGGGAAUAUUGCACAAUGGGCGGAAGCCUGAUGCAGCAACGCCGCGUGCGGGAUGACGGCCUUCGGGUUGUAAACCGCUUUCGCCUGUGACGAAGCGUGAGUGACGGUAAUGGGUAAAGAAGCACCGGCUAACUACGUGCCAGCAGCCGCGGUGAUACGUAGGGUGCGAGCGUUGUCCGGAUUUAUUGGGCGUAAAGGGCUCGUAGGUGGUUGAUCGCGUCGGAAGUGUAAUCUUGGGGCUUAACCCUGAGCGUGCUUUCGAUACGGGUUGACUUGAGGAAGGUAGGGGAGAAUGGAAUUCUUGGUGGAGCGGUGGAAUGCGCAGAUAUCAGGAGGAACACCAGUGGCGAAGGCGGUUCUCUGGGCCUUUCCUGACGCUGAGGAGCGAAAGCGUGGGGAGCGAACAGGCUUAGAUACCCUGGUAGUCCACGCUGUAAACGGUGGGUACUAGGUGUGGGGUCCAUUCCACGGGUUCCGUGCCGUAGCUAACGCUUUAAGUACCCCGCCUGGGGAGUACGGCCGCAAGGCUAAAACUCAAAGGAAUUGACGGGGCCCCGCACAAGCGGCGGAGCAUGCGGAUUAAUUCGAUGCAACGCGUAGAACCUUACCUGGGUUUGACAUGGAUCGGGAGUGCUCAGAGAUGGGUGUGCCUCUUUUGGGGUCGGUUCACAGGUGGUGCAUGGCUGUCGUCAGCUCGUGUCGUGAGAUGUUGGGUUAAGUCCCGCAACGAGCGCAACCCUUGUUCACUGUUGCCAGCACGUUAUGGUGGGGACUCAGUGGAGACCGCCGGGGUCAACUCGGAGGAAGGUGGGGAUGACGUCAAGUCAUCAUGCCCCUUAUGUCCAGGGCUUCACGCAUGCUACAAUGGCUGGUACAGAGAGUGGCGAGUCUGUGAGGGUGAGCGAAUCUCGGAAAGCCGGUCUCAGUUCGGAUUGGGGUCUGCAACUCGACCUCAUGAAGUCGGAGUCGCUAGUAAUCGCAGAUCAGCAACGCUGCGGUGAAUACGUUCCCGGG